rnacentral:rRNA from 1 species
AUUCCAGCUCCAAUAGCGUAUAUUAAAGUUGUUGCGGUUAAAAAGCUCGUAGUUGGAUUUCUGCCGAGGACGACCGGUCCGCCCUCUGGGUGAGCAUCUGGCUCGGCCUGGGCAUCCUCUUGGAGAACGUAGCUGCACUUGACUGUGUGGGGCGGUAUCCAGGACUUUUACUUUGAGGAAAUUAGAGUGUUUCAAGCAGGCAUACGCCUUGAAUACAUUAGCAUGGAAUAAUAAGAUAGGACCUCGGUUCUAUUUUGUUGGCUUUUAGAAUUAAAGUAAUGGUUAAUAGGGAUAGUUGGGGGCAUUCAUAUUUAACUGUCAGAGGUGAAAUUCUUGGAUUUGUUAAGGAUGAACGACUGCGAAAGCAUUUGCCAAGGAUGCUUUCAUUA